rnacentral:rRNA from 1 species
GACUACCGGGGUAUCUAAUCCUGUUUGCUCCCCACGCUUUCGUGCAUGAGCGUCAGUGUUAGCCCAGGGGGCUGCCUUCGCCAUCGGUGUUCCUCCACAUCUCUACGCAUUUCACUGCUACACGUGGAAUUCCACCCCCCUCUGCCACACUCUAGACAUCCAGUUUCAAACGCCAUUCCCAGGUUAAGCCCGGGGAUUUCACGUCUGACUUAAAUAUCCGCCUGCGCACGCUUUACGCCCAGUAAUUCCGAUUAACGCUCGCACCCUACGUAUUACCGCGGCUGCUGGCACGUAGUUAGCCGGUGCUUCUUCUUACAGUACCGUCAUCCACACAGAGUAUUAGUCCAUGCGAUUUCUUUCCGUCCGAAAGCGGUUUACAACCCGAAGGCCUUCUUCCCGCACGCGGCAUGGCUGGAUCAGGCUUGCGCCCAUUGUCCAAAAUUCCCCACUGCAGCCACCCGUAGG